GACAGCAGUCGCCGCGGUAAUACGAAGGGUGCAAGCGUUAAUCGGAAUUACUGGGCGUAAAGGGUGCGUAGGCGGUUGUUUAAGUCUGUUGUGAAAUCCCCGGGCUCAACCUGGGAAUGGCAAUGGAAACUGGACGGCUAGAGUGUGUCGGAGGAUGGUGGAAUUCCCGGUGUAGCGGUGAAAUGCGUAGAGAUCGGGAGGAACAUCAGUGGCGAAGGCGGCCAUCUGGGACAACACUGACGCUGAAGCACGAAAGCGUGGGGAGCAAGCAGGAUUAGAUACCCGCGUAGUCCCUGUCUCUUAUAC
rnacentral:rRNA from 1 species